rnacentral:piRNA from 1 species
UGGUUCCUAUCAAUAAAUCUCAUGUGAUU